GACGAACGCUGGCGGCGUGCUUAACACAUGCAAGUCGAACGGAAAGGCCCUGCUUUUGUGGGGUGCUCGAGUGGCGAACGGGUGAGUAACACGUGAGUAACCUGCCCUUGACUUUGGGAUAACUUCAGGAAACUGGGGCUAAUACCGGAUAGGAGCUCCUGCUGCGUGGUGGGGGUUGGAAAGUUUCGGCGGUUGGGGAUGGACUCGCGGCUUAUCAGCUUGUUGGUGGGGUAGUGGCUUACCAAGGCUUUGACGGGUAGCCGGCCUGAGAGGGUGACCGGCCACAUUGGGACUGAGAUACGGCCCAGACUCCUACGGGAGGCAGCAGUGGGGAAUAUUGCACAAUGGGCGGAAGCCUGAUGCAGCAACGCCGCGUGCGGGAUGACGGCCUUCGGGUUGUAAACCGCUUUCGCCUGUGACGAAGCGUGAGUGACGGUAAUGGGCAAAGAAGCACCGGCUAACUACGUG
rnacentral:rRNA from 1 species